rnacentral:rRNA from 1 species
GGAUUAGAUACCCUGGUAGUCCACGCCGUAAACGAUGACAACUAGCUGUUGGAAAGCUAUGCUUUUCAGUGGCGCAGCUAACGUCUUAAGUUGUCCGCCUGGGGAGUACGGCCGCAAGGUUAAAACUCAAAUGAAUUGACGGGGACCCGCACAAGCGGUGGAGCAUGUGGUUUAAUUCGACGCAACGCGAAGAACCUUACCCAGUCUUGACAUCCUUGGACAACCAUAGAGAUAUGGCCUUCUCCUUUACGGGAGACCAAGUGACAGGUGCUGCACGGCUGUCGUCAGCUCGUGUUG